UACGAAGGUGGCAAGCGUUGUUCGGAUUUACUGGGCGUAAAGGGAGCGUAGGUGGUGGGGUAAGCCCCGCGGGAAAGCUCCAGGCUUAACCUGGAAAGGUCGCGGGGGACUGCUCCGCUCGAGGACGGGAGAGGAGCGCGGAAUUCCCGGUGUAGCGGUGAAAUGCGUAGAAGACUCGGGAGGAAGGCCGGUGGCGAAGGCGGCGCUCUGGAACGGCCCUGACACUGAGGCUCGAAAGCGUGGGAG
rnacentral:rRNA from 1 species